rnacentral:rRNA from 1 species
UACGAAGGGGGCUAGCGUUGUUCGGAUUUACUGGGCGUAAAGCGCACGUAGGCGGACUUUUAAGUCAGGGGUGAAAUCCCGGGGCUCAACCCCGGAACUGCCUUUAAUACUGGCGAUCUUGAGUCCGAGAGAGGUGAGUGGAACUCCUAGUGUAGAGGUGGAAUUCGUAGAUAUUAGGAAGAACACCAGUGGCGAAGGCGGCUCACUGGCUCGGUACUGACGCUGAGGUGCGAAAGCGUGGGGAGCAAACAGG